rnacentral:tRNA from 1 species
CGUUUUGUAGUUCAGUGGUAGAAUAUUUGCCUUGUGUGCUUGUGGCCCUGGGUUCAACCCCCAGCACAAUAC